UACAGAGGGUGCGAGCGUUAAUCGGAGUUACUGGGCGUAAAGGGCGCGUAGGCGGUUUAAUAAGAUUGAUGUGAAAUCCCUGGGCUUAACCUAGGAACUGCAUCGACGACUGUUAAGCUGGAGUACUGUAGAGGGUAGUAGAAUUUCCGGUGUAGCGGUGAAAUGCGUAGAGAUCGGAAGGAAUACCAGUGGCGAAGGCGGCUACCUGGACAGAUACUGACGCUGAGGCGCGAGAGCGUGGGGAGCAAACAGG
rnacentral:rRNA from 1 species